GACUCUGUGGUGAAAUUCAUGUUGAGUUGCAAGCUCAUUGAUGUACGUUAACACGUGCCGGGGUCU
rnacentral:tRNA from 1 species